UCUGGCCACGCCGCUGUUGCCAGCGCCAUUGGGGGCUCUGUGAAUCACAGGGGCCCCCACAGCGAGCUGAGAACGAAUUUCCCCCUGAGCUCCCUCUUUGAAGUGAUGCUCCAGCACAGCCUCGCAGGCCACGAGCAGGCUGACAUUUUGUGCAGCUCCUGUUUGGCAACCAGGCUUGAAAUAACAGCAAAGGAAGAUCUUUGACCCUGGCUGAUAUUGCAUAUAUCUAGAUGCACUUCUGAAAAUGUAGAGUUUUCACUAGCACAAUUUGGGAGAGGAAGAGACGAGACAGAAAGAAUCUUUUAAUAAAGAAAAGCACAGGUAUUUGUUUAAAAAUACUGCAUGGGAAAGAACAUUGCUUGUAUGGCUUAAUUCUAGUCCUGAAUCUGUUUGCUGUGACAUUUACUGUUAAAUCACUACCAGAUUAUCUUCACUGUUUAAGGAAAAGCUAAAAUCCACUUGUUUUAUCUCAGGGUAAUUAGUUUGAGGGCUGUGAGGUUGAAGUCAGUAUGUUCAGCUUGUAAAGCUAGUGUCCUUUUCCAAAUUUUAUGUUGAAGCUGUUACUGUUUGUAGCCAAAAAUUACUUCUCCACCCCCAUUUCAGCACUGUUUUAUCUAAGCUCUUCAACCACAACUAGCUGAAACAACUCUAAUCACCUAUUUUUACUGUUUGAGUUAGGGAGUGUUCACAGGGCUCUUUUUGCCAGAAGAGCUGAAAUGCUUGCAGAAAGGGAAAAGGGAAAGGGAAAGGGAUGCAAUUUCAGAGCUGCAAAAUAGCAGCUGAACACGAUAAUAUCUUCAGCUGGCAGAGGUGGCUGCACACUGAGCAUCUGUCUAUAGCCUAAAAGUACUGUUUUGUUCGGGGAUUUGUUUGUUUGUUAGUUGGAGUUUUGGUUUGUUGAUGACUGCAGGAUCACUCCAACUGCUAAUACAAUUAAGAAAGAAACUUCAGAAAAAAGAAUACUAAGUCCUAUGGUUUUUAAUUCCCUAUUGGGUUUUGGGGAGAAGUAGUUUGUGGCAAACAAGGAAGACAAACCUGAAUCCUUUGCUGCAUCCUUCCUCCUGUUUAAGAAGAUUUGUGAUUCUACAUCUAAAUCCAACAACUUUCCAUGUGGCCCUGCUCAUCUGAGAAAAGAACGGGAGGACAAAACAUUCUUCAAUUGCCUGUGAACUUAUACACUAAGAGUGGCCUGUGGGAAGUCUGCUGCUCUGCUGUGGAUUUCUGGUCUCUGGGACAUGUGGUCUGUGAGGCUGACUGCAUCCAGGAUAAAACACCUUGUAGAGGAAGUGCUGUGGUAUGUUGAAAAAAAUCGUUCAGGCAUAAGAGGAGAGAAAGAAGUUGUAAAAGUUAAAGAAAGAUCCUCGAGGGGCACCAGCACUGCCAGCGUCUAUGAAUUCAGUGUGCAGCUUCUUUUCUCAGCACAUUUGCUUUGGGCAAAACUAUAAUAAUAAUUCAUCAGCUGAAGUGGGGGCUGUAGUUUGGUUUUGAAUCCUGCUCUUCUGGUACCAGCAGCAUUUUCACACGAGCCGAAGCUCUUAUGGCUGUUCUCAUCCAGCUUGGUUGAGCAGGAUAAAAGGAAAAGAAAUGCUGCUGAAUUCUGAGGGAUCAGGUUCUACCUCUAACAUGUUACAUAACUUUUCAUCCUUUGAGCAGUCUUUUUUAUUUCAGUUGAAGAAUUUGUUAUUGCAAAAUGUGAAUAAGAUGUCAUAAUUUCACCCUAAAUAUUUCAUUUUACAAAGGAAGCCAUGAUGCAGAAGAGAACACACCCUGAGCUGCAGCAGGAUACAAAAUUUGCAGUUACAAUAAAAGCUAGGAAGCCUUUUUCUUCUUUGUGAUGGUGGCCUCCUAUUGAAAGUGUUUAAUAAACAGAACCAGUUUUGUGUGAAUUAAAUGAAAGAUGUUCAUAUACAAACUGAGAGGCUUCUAAUCCCUACAGCACCACAAAUAAUUCAAAGAAGUCUUGAAGUGCCACGAUAAUGGCACAAGAUGGUUAUCUCUGUAUUAUUGGUUUUGUGUACAUCAAAGAAGGCUCUGUGGGAAAAAAUAAUGUUGCAUAAAAAAAGCCAAACUUUUCUUUUUUAAAAAGCAGACAAUUAAAAGUAUAGAGAAGUUAAGAAAAAUAUGAACUAUAAAUAUUUUGCCUUUUAAAGUCUAUAUUACCCUUAAAACAAUUUUAUGGUGGAUAUUGCAGGCUCUGGAUUAACAUAAAUGUCUGAUUGAAAAUCUUUGUAAGGAUGUUAAGAUAAAGUGCACAGCUCUUAAGUUCUACAAACACAAACCUGAUUUCAAAGGAAUCAAGUGAUGAGAAUGGAUGUGCAUGAAACAAAAAUAAUGUAUUCAUAAAGGCCUUUUGCACCAGUCAAGACAUAAAGUAACAACAACUGGACUGGUCACCUGCUUUUAAAAUUGCUUAAAUUAAAGAUUAUGGGCAACACUGAAAAAGGAAAGAAAGAAAUAUGAGCCAGCUGUACCUGUGGUGUGAUAACGUUGCCUUCAGGAUAGACAAGGCAUUGGCUGGUCAACUUCUACGUUGUAAUUUUGUAUGUACAUGAAGUAAAGAGAAUGUGGUGCUGAAUGAAUUACCAAAAAGUGUACAGGGCAACAUCCACCUAGUACAAUGUCAGCAAAGCCUGGGGACUUGUAGAGAGGGAAGGGAAAGAGAUCACCUUACUCUACAUGACAUUAUAAAACAAAUCACAAAACUAGACUUGCCCUGCACCAGUGGAAGCAUGAUACACCCAGACAGAAGAGCUGCCCCCAGAUGCUCUUUUCUCUCCCAAAAUAUUCAGAACCUUUCACAUAUGUAGAAAUUCAAGUUCUUGGUUAAUCUGGGCCUCCUGAUGCUUUGCACAGUCCCAGGAGCACUCCCUGUGGAGGUGCAGUGGGGCUGCCUUACAUUUCUCCAAUAAUCAAACCACUGGACAAAGGAGUGGGCAAAAUCCUGAAUGUUUUGUGCCUGCCUUGUUGUCAGGCACAGAGCUGUGUGUUUUCCUUUGUCCCUUAUGCACAUGGGGUCACACCCCUGUGUCCAUACUGCAGCAGAAACCUCAGCAACAAUGUGUGAGACAGGCUUUAUUCCACACAGAGAGACACUGAACUAUGGCAUCCACUUAUUUCCUGUCAUACCUUUAAAUCAAGGCUAAACGAAGUGAAAAGCAAAUAGAUUUUCAGCCCUUGUAAACUCACAGGGCAAACUGAAUGGAUAAACUAAGAUGUUUCACCAUCAUAUAUUACCCUGGUGUGUUAGAGUUGGCUAUAUGAUAGGUUCAUGGCCAUCUCAAAAUGAGUGGAAAAGUGAAUGCUUCCAUUGUGAUUACUUAGCUAAAAAAUAUAUGUCAGUAAUCCCUCUUCUGCCACCCUUCUUAACCAUUUAAUUGUAGUAUUUUAAGGUUAAUAAUGGGAAAAUGCUAUGUACUUUUCAGGGAAAACUGACUGGGCUUUUUUUCAGAGAUAAAUUACUUAGAGGGAAAAUUAUAUUCUAUUGAAAAUUACUCCUUAGGGUCCAUGUCCCUGUUGGGCCAGGUUAAAGGAAGUAUGGGCACACUCGCACAAAGAAUUGCAGCUCUGCAAGGCUGGAGGAGAAUCUCAGCUUCUCUGCGUGAAGCUAAAGGGAAGAACUGUGUAGGAAAUUUCAGUUCACCAGCUUGGCUGGGAUGAAAAGUUUCAAGAAAUUAACCUGAGUGUAUCAGCUAAUGUGCCUAAAGGCAUCAUCCAACUGAGACAGCAUCUCAGAUUAGGGUCACCUGGCAUGCUCUCUUCUGUAGGAUCCUAAAUCUAUAAGCAUCUGUCCUCAAGGGUCUCUAAGCAGCUGGUCCCCGUCUUCCCUAGCAAAUGGCUAUGCAAGAAAAGAGGAGGAGGAGGAAGGAUGCAGGAACUGAUUCUCUUGAUUCUCUUUAUUCUUUUGAAAUGAGAAUUACUGAGCUGCCAUUUCUGCCUUCUCUAGGGUUCAGGAUGUUUCUACCAACCCAUCUUUAUAAUGAGCAUGAGGACCAUUUCAGUGGGAAAGCAUAAUCGUGGUGGAAAAACAAUCUCAUGGCCACAAAGUCAUUCUUUAAAUGUGGGCUGGACUGCUUAUGAGGUUACGCUGAAGUCACAUUUUGAUGUCAAGCUCUGCCAUUUGGCUCCUGGAGCACCCUUUGUACCGAUUGGGCUGUGGACAACUUGUUCUGAGUAUGACUAAGCAGCUGAAUGAACUUCUCAAGCAGACGAAAGUAAUGUUUUUCACUCUUAAUAUAUCUUGAAAAACUACCAAAUUCAUUAUAGACGUUGCUCGUUCAUUCCUGACCUCUACAGAAAAAGAGAUCAAAACAUUUUGGAAGACAAUCUGUCCCCAUGUUCUACCUGCCUGUUCACAGCAUCAGGAGGAUGAGAUAAACCUCCUGCUUUUCCAUUCUCCACUAAUACCAUAUCCCAAUGUGCUGGCUGCUUUUCCCUGUCAUGUUUUGAGCAGUUUCAAAUGAGGUAGAUUAAAACCUUUUCAUUUAUUUAUAACAGUUGCAGUAAAUUUUAGGAUAAAGCAGGAGGCUGUUGGACAGCAGUAUUUUGUUUCAUUCCCUACUCAAGUUAGGGCUAUGGAACAUGGGUAGCUGAUAUUAUGUUCUGGCAAUUUAAGUCUGUUUAGCAAGGUUCUUAAUAAUCUCUGCAUGUAUAUCACAGAGAACCUUUUGCAUAUUGCUUUAAAUAAUUCAAAACCUCUCCAAUAUUGUAUUAAAUAAUUCAAGAAUCGGACAGGCUUUGUGAUUAAUGAUGUGUACCUGGAAUUUCUGCAAACACAGCAAGGAGUCAAAGUAUGGUCUAGAUACAAGUGUCCUGGCAUAAGAUCCCAUUUACUCCUUGCCAAGGCAAUAGUAUGUAUUAGAAAAUUGGAAAAGCGCCUGCUACUCACUGGAAAACUGACUGAGGCCAAUGGUUAAUGUGGCGGCUGCUGAAAGAGUUUGUUCUUCCAGACAGACAAUACUACUUUGGCUGAGAACCUCUAUUGUCUUCUGACUUUCAUUUUCAAUCCACAUGAAAAGUAUUGGUGCCUGAUGUUAAAAUUAAAUGGAAGUAUAAAUAUUUCUGCAGGAGAUGGACAUUUGUCCUUGUAUUUUACUGGUCUUGAUUUGAGAGCAUGGAAAGGGUUUGCUUUGUAAAGCAAAGCAUGUAAGCUUCUUUUGCGUGUUAACUUAAUCCUAAAGGGCUGGGAAGUUGCUGUUCUUCCCAGCUGUGCUUGGGUCUGUGAUCAUGAAAAGUACCUGGAAGUCUUUUGUCGUUCUCCAUUUUUAUGGGGAGAUGCAAGUGGAGCAGCAUUGUUAUGGCAAAAAAAAACCACCAAACCCUAAAUGCUAGAAUUGCUGAGUUUCCACCCUGUUGACACAGUAACCACUUUCCCUUCUUAGUACAGAUGAAACAAUUCUGGUUUAGACAGUACUAUCAACAGUUUUGCCUAGGAAAUAAAUAGAUUUCUGUAACUUCAAUGUAUUUUUUGGUUAAGGGAUUUCUUUAGGACACAAAGAAAAUCAAUGCUACAUUGAGAUAGAAAUGAAGCACACAAAUCCUUCUAAAUAGCCUUUUUUAAAAAAAUAAAGGAUAUGUUAUUGUGCAAAAUUAAAUAUCCAGCAAGGGGAUUACAAUUAUCAGCAUUAUUAGAAAUAUUCUGUAGAUAUUUUUAUGGGAGUCUGAUAUUGGACUCCCAGCCCAGCCACCUCAGUUAGCAACCACUUUACAAACAUCAAAAGGACCAGCUGAUUUUUAUUGGGUUUUGGAUGUUUUCAAUAAAAGACUCCGCAGGGGAUCCACUGAUAUGUGUCCAGCUUUAAUAUUUAAACACAUUAAAGAUUUCUAGAGGAAGAGACAGAAAUAAAGAGGGCUGCUGCUGUGGCAAAUGCAUUUGGCAUGCCAUGGCCAGUAUAUUCCCCUAUAUGUGCCUCUCUGCUCCAGCAGCAGCUGGUGGCCUAAGGGCCAUUUGGAUAAGGUGAGGGACCAGCCUGGAUGAAACAAUUUUUUAAAGAUUCUGCACAGGGAAUAUUGACAUGAGAUGCACAAGCUGGGGGGAAGAUUGGUGGGUUGGUUCUUGGGGUUUUUCAGUUGUGGGUUUUUUUGUUGUUGCUGUUGGAGGUUUUUGUUGUUUUGGUUCUUGGUUUUGUUUUUUUAUUAAGAAUGUGCAUCUCAGCAGGAAUCUCAGGUAUUUAAGGGCAGGGACAAAACCCAAGCUGUAUCAAAUGACUGAUAUCUAGAACAAAGCUCCUUAUGCACAUUUGCAUUUAAAUAGUAGAAGCUAUUGGAAAUUUCCCACACAAAUUUUUAUUUCAGUGGUUCAGAGAUCCACGUUACAAUAAACUUCAGCUUUUUUACAUAGGCUGUCUACAAAAUGCUGCCCAUUGUUUCUUUUUAAAUUGAAACCUCAGAAGGAUGACCAAUUAAGGUGUCUCUGUAAAAGUCUCAGGGAUGAAACAUCUUCCUUAAAUAAAAGGGAAACAUGCUAAUUUUCCAUCCCUGCAGAUUAAUUGAAGGAGCCAUAGAAUUCUUUUUGUGUUUCAGGCAAGAGCAGGUGGGAAGGGAAGAGACAGGAUAUUGCAGGUCGGCCACUUUUGGAUUUCGAUGGAGUCUGCCUCCUGUAAAGAAUGAAUAAUUCAACCACCCACGCCCCAUCACCAUUUAAAUUACAGUCUUCCUGUUAUUAUAAAGCAAUGUCUCAAAGGAAUAAAUAAAGUUGACAAAAAUAGUCUUCAUAAGGGUUGACACUGAUUACAUCAGACUGAACUCCCUCACUCAUGGGGCUCGUCCACCUUUAAAUGUCAUCAUGAGAUGACACCUGUCUAUCCUGCUGUCAUUCUUAACAGAGAAUAAGUCUCUGUUCCCAGUGACUUCUUUUCCUAACAAGACCAAUUCUAAGUCAUAAAGCACAGGAUGACAAGUCUUAAACCAGCACAAACCGAAUGGUUUCUUGUUACUCCUACGCAUUGUAGGAGGGGGGAAACCACUAAGAAAAGGAGUGAAGGGGAACUUCAUGGCAAAUAAAUUUAAAAUAAAUAAAAUGCUGGAUGUUGGCUCUGUAAAAUUAACUUCUGCAGAAGACCAUGUAGGAAAAUGAAGUGAGGGAUAUUAGACAGAAGUUCUUUCCUGUGAGGGUGGUGAGGCACUGGCACAAGCUGCCCAGAGAAGUUGUGGACUCCCUGUCCCUGGAAGUUCAAGGCCAGGCUGGAUGGGGCUUUGAGUAACCUGGCCAAGGUGUCCCUGCCCAUGGCAAGGGCAUUGGAACCAGUUGAUCUUUAAGGUUCUUCUAACCCAAGUCAUUCUACGAUUCUGUGACAGCAAACAUUGUCACUGCAAUGCUUUGGAUUAAUCAGCAGUGGUGAUUCACAGCCAGCUGCUUAUCAAGGACUACUGACCUUGUGGCUCUGUACUUCAUGAAACUGGCCUGUUGGCACAUAUUUUUUUUUUUUUUUUAUUAAUUUUUAUUGUUGAUUGUUCAUGUUGCAAGAUACCCAGGCUCAGAAGACCACAGGUACUUCCAUAUCAAGUGAAAUCAAAGGCCUAACUAGCCCUGAAGGAAAUAGCCUGCUGAGAAAACAAAUCAUGGCUGGUCUCUGUGACAUGGCUCAUCUGAAACAGAAAUGAGAAUGAUAUUCAACUUUUCUGAACAAGCCCCAAAACCUUUUUCCUUAGUCGGAAAAUAAUUUAUUUCCUGAUGACUUCCAGUUGUUUUAUUAAAUUUCUAGCACUGAGGACAAAAAUAUUCCAAAAUGUGAUUGUUCACUGAAACAGAUUUUUUUCCUAUUUUUGCUGCAGUUCACAUUUCAUCGCAGUACAAUAAAUUGAAAUAGUGCCCUCAUUCUCUUAGAGGGUGCCUUAGAUAUUAACAGUUCAUUUGCCACAGAGCAGCUUAACUGGCCUCUGCUGCCCAGCAGCACAAAAGGGAAUGGUUAUGGAUACCCUGUGAUACAAACUGAUAUCCCCUAAGGGCAGCACAUACAUUUGUAAUUUAAUUCCUAUGGCUUAUUUCUUACUAUUAGAAUGGUUCUCUGUGCUGGUAGGAAAUCCUAAUUCUGGUCCCAUAUGGACAGCUCAGAUAAUGUGCCUGCAUGCCUGUGCUCCUUUUGUCCUGUGCACAGCAAGCUGGGAGGACACAGAGCAGCCUCACUACCGUGGGCAUGAGAGGGAAGGAAACAAACACACCUCAGGCUCCCACUUCACAGGUGCUGCCAGGCUCAGUGUGGUCAUGAUGCUGUAAAAAAACACAUUUAAACAGACAUGCUUACAAAAAUUCACAAAGAAUACUGCGUCCAUUCACUCAUUGGAAACUUCAGACUUACACAAUGUGGUUUUUUGCUACUAUCCAGUCCUUUUCCCCAUGUGCCAUUUCACUUCUUUGAAGUGCUGAAGGUGCACUGCAUCCAGCCUCUCCAAUUCAGAAAGUGUAUGUGUAUAAAUGAAAAGAGGAACUAGUUGCUCGAACUACUUCCAAAUCUAAAUUAAUUUGCACUUACCAAAGAAUGUGUUCAACAGCAGCAGGAGCACCUUGCUCAUAUUUUGUGUGUAUUAAAAAAGAACCUUCCUCAUUUUUUUUUCUAAUAACAUGCUAUUCAAUAACUUCAGGUAAGAAUACAGAGGAUUAAAAUGGUUUUACAUCUCUCCCAGCUCCUCAAGCAGCUGUGCUAUACUGCAGCUGCAUACAUUGCUCAGACAAGAUAUAGCAGCAGGUAAUUCUGCAAUCAUUGGCCCGCAACAUAUGCUGGUAUGCAGGAAUCCACUGGUUAGUCUGGAUUUUAGAGGAGAAGCUAAAUCCUCUAAGAUAAGUCCUCCUAAGAAAAAGAAACAAACCUAUUUUAUUAAACAAAUACAUUUGACAAUAGGAUUAUCUGAGUUUCUAAGGUUAGCAUUCUGCCUUUCUCAGAAAGACACUAAGCACACCUAAUUAACAUUAUAAAAGAAACUAAACAUAUUGGUUGGGUACUAAGAUUUUCUUUGCACUAGUUUCAUUGUCAUGACUAAAUAAAAAGGACUGAUGUCUGGCUUUAAAAAUGGAGGAGGGAGAGGAGGUAUGGUGAGAGAAAGGAAUUACCCAUUGAUUUAUUUUUUUACUUAACAGCAAAGGGGAAUGAGCAAUUUAAGGUCAGGAGCAUAUUGUUCAGCUGGCCUCAGAUCCUGCAAAAUUACCAACACUGUGUGUUGCAAUAAAUUGCAUGCUUUUGUCAUCCCUGUUUGUUUGAAAUAUGUGGGAAAUGAAUAGGGAAACAGCUAAGACCAGCAUUAAGAACAGCCCUGAUCUGCCUAGAAGGUGAAUGGAGACAAAAUAGUCUGUUUUGUUGCUGAUAGGAGAACCUCUCUAACGCACAAUCAGCCCCGCUGCUUUUGUAGCUGCUUCCUUCCUUAAGUGCCAGGGGCGCAGAGAGCCAGAUGGGUCAGGAGGGCUGCUGGAAAUACCAGCAAAACUACUCCUCCCAUUUCUCUCCCUCUGUACCCCAGUGAUCCACCCCAAAGGGCUCGUGUUUGAUUCUGCACAAAGUCUGUGCUGUCCUUGUAGUGCUGCAGGCUGCCCAGCCAUCGUGCCUGCAUUUACUCUAACAGUCCCUAAAGAACUCACCCUGUGCAAAAGGGAUAAAUUAAACUCAGAGGUGUGGCUCAGCCAAGGCACUGCAUCACACAGUGAGCAGGUUACUGACAGUCCAAGUAACUUUUCAGACUAAUGACUCUCUCAUCAGUCUAGGCAAACAGGUCCUAUUGCUCCAGAAGGUCAUACUGGCCUUUAUUUUCCUCCUGGUGAUGCAAGCACUGAUUAUAGUGCAGUAUCCAAGACAGGCAAUUCAUGUCAAAAUGUGGAGAAAGUGGCUUUACUUAUUGAUGUGUUGUCAUCGCAACAUUCAGCCUUUCUGUUCAGAGCUAUUCACGUGAGUUACAGCAAACAGAGCCUGUGCCUGGCAUUAACCUGCUCCCCAGGCAGCUAUUACUCAAAAUGCACAAUGGUCUGCAGGAUACCAAGAGAUUUGCCAUUGCUGUAUUGACCAGACACAGUCUUGUGCUGCACUGUGUGAUGAAGCAGUGUCAAAAUGGCAUUCCAGGCUGGAAAAGUCUGAAAGCCACAGCUCAGACAGGUUCACUCUUUGCGGAGUCAAGAACUGCCUGGGUGGCUGGGCCCAGGGGGUGGUGGUGCUGCAUCCAGUUGGUCAUUGGUGGUCCCCCAGGGAUCAGUGCUGGGCCCAGUCCUGUUCAAUAUCUUCAUUGAUGAUCUGGGUGAGGGGAGCGAGUGUAUUCUCUGUAAAUUUGCAGACAACAGCAAGCUGGGUGGGAAUGUCAAUCUGUCAAUCUAGGAGGGCUCUGCAGAGGGAUCUGGAAAGACUGGGUCGAUGGAAAGAGACCAGUUGUAUGAGGUUCAAUAAGGCAAAGUGCUGGGUCCUGCCCUUGUUAGCGUUCAGGAACACACAUAAUCACGGGAUAUGAUUACAUGCAGGUGCUUUUAUUGAGAGCUCUGGGAAUCAGGGGUACAGACCCAAAUCUGACUCCAACAUGGCUUUUAAGCUGAACGUAUUUUAUAUUCUAUCGUUAUAUAACUUACAUAUUAAUUAUUAAACCUAUAUUGUUCUAUUGUAUACAUUGACAUGAGUUUCUCGUGAUCUUAGGCCCCCAACCACAGUUUCUCAUUAUUAUUUUUAUGAUUAAACAGUAAUUAUAUUUAAUUACUAAACAAUGAUCACAUCUAACAAUUAUAUCACUUAUCAUGUACUAGCUACACAGGUGCAGUUCUAGCAAGGUACAAGGUCUUCAUGUACCUAGGGUAUUUAUUUUUUCUCAGGGCCUACUAAGCUUAAUUUUCCUUUUAACCGUAAAUCCCCAUGAUUUUAAAACCCUUUUACUAUCACCCUUAUCUCCCAAGCAGCCCCUGCAGUAGCCCAGGCUGGGGGGAAAGUGGCAGGAAAGCUGCCAGUGGGAAAGGCCCUGGGGGUGCUGGCCAGCAGCAGCUCAAUGUGGGCCAGCAUGUGCCCAAUGGCAGCAUGGCCAGCACUAGUGUGGCCAGCAGGACCAAGGCAGUGAUUGUCCCUCUGUGCUGGACACUGUGAGCCACACCUUGAGUGCUCUGUCCAGUUUUGGGCCACUCAGCUCAGGGAGGACAUCGAGGGGCUGGAGCAGGCCCAGAGAAGGGCAAUGAAGCUGGUGGAGGGUCUGGAGCUCAAGACUUAUGAGGGGCAGUGGAGGGAGCUGGGGCUGUUUAGCCGGGAGAAAAAUAUGCUCUGGGGAGAAUGUACCACUCUCUACUACUCCCUGGCAGGAGAGGGUGGCCAGAUGGGAUCAACCUCUUUUUUUUUACCAAGUAAGAAGUGAUAGGACAGAAGGAAAUGGCAUCAAAUUGUGCCAUGGGUGGUUUAGAUUGGACAUUAGGAAACUUUUCUUCACUACAGGUUGUCAAGCAAUUGAACAGACUGCUCAGGGAAGGCCUGGAGUUCCCAUCCCUGCUGAUAUUUAAAAGACAUGUAGAUGUGGCACUUGGGGAUAUGGUUUAGUGGUGGACUUGGCAGUGCUGGGUUAGCACUUGGACUCGAUGACCUUAGGGAUCUUUUCCAACCUAAAUGAUCCUACGAUUCCAUGUACGUGCUUGUCCUUCCCUUGUAUAUUCUUACUUUAUGGGCACUGCAGCACCUAACAAAGGAAGUACCAUGAAGCUUUCCUUUUUUCAUUUAGGCUUCAGUGGGCAACAAGAUGAAGCCAACCUAAUGCUGCAGCUCAAUGAAUUGUGCAGCAGUGUGAGCCACAAGGUAUCAUGCAUGGGAGGACUGGAAAUUGCUGUUUGUUGUGCCUGAUCCUCUCUCAGGAAUGACUUCAGUCUCAUACUGCUUCUGUGAACAAAAGUACUUUUUCCCAGCUCAGCCAUGGGAAAGGCAGGAAAUAUCCUGCAUGCAAUUUACCCUUGCUUUAAAGAAAAUAAUUACGGUUUCUACUGUGUGUCUUUGAUUCUCUGUGUAGAAAAAUCUUUUUCUUCACUUCCAUUUUACAAUGUAUUUUAAUCAAUACAUUGUCUCUGAGAGAACACAACCAGACUCAUCAAUGGAGCUUUCUGUGCUGGCCCUACAAAGGCAUUGGGAUCUCCACAUCCCUUCUCAACUCCAUACUUGCAGUAAGAGUGAUGGAGGUAGGGAACCCUGAGCUGGAGUUGCCACACAAGUUUUGGUCAUUGUUAAAGGCCAUUCCUCAGAAACUUUUCCCAGUCAUUCCUGCAGUCCUUGGCUUGGUCUCUGUGCUCACACACACCUACCCUUUGUUACCACCUUACCCUUUGUCGGGGAUAGAGGCUGUGGUCCCUUGCCGCUGUAAGGAUUACACUUCUUUAUUUUAGAUAGCAUCCAUUCAUGACUUGUCUAGACAAAUAACAGUAUUCCAAAUCUCUCAGCAGGCAGAAGGAGAAGUCAUUGCAACCCCACAACUGAAUUUGGUGGGCUGCUGUGCCUUCUACCAGUUCCUGCAGGGAUGGGGGGAGCUGACUGCCCCAGGAGCCACUGUCUUGCCAACACACACAACAUUUUGGGCAGCACCAAACAUCAUCUGCAGGGACUUAUGCAGAGUCCUGGAUUGCCUGGAUCUUGCUUCUGACCUGGGCAAACCCCAAAUUCAGUAGGACCAAGGUCUCCAGCCUUGCACAGAGCAAGGGGCAGUCACCUCUAAUGGAAACAAGGUGCUCCCCAUCAGCAACCAUACUUCCCGCCCUACCCUGGCCACAGGUUUUAACAAUGCAUUUAACUUGCAUAAACAACGAAAGUUCCCCCAAAGAUGCUUAUGAUGUUAGGCAUGUACAUUCAUGGAGCUGUGAUCCAGCCCUCAUCUUCCAGAGGAUCUUCCUCUAAAUAAAAAGUCCAGUGUCAUCCACAGUUUUGGAGGUCUAGAGGAAGCUCUUCUAAGGCUACACAAAGUAUUUAGCACAGCCCCAGUCGCUCAAAAUGCCACUUGUGUAACUGACAGACCUCUGAAAGCAGCUUUUAAUUUACAGCAACAGGACCAUUUUCCAAAGUUUCUAAGAAUUUUUUGCAUUUUACAGUGAAAGGAUAUUUAUUGCCACUUUUAUGUGUAAGCUGACUACAGCUCCAUAUUACUUGGGGUAUAAAGCAGAUGAGCAAAAGGCCUUUAAACUAGUGUUGUUGCACUUCUGAUCUUGAUUGAUGUUGACACCAAUUAGCAGAAAAGGAAUCUUCCAGAUAAAGGAAAAGAAGAUUUUAUUAAGCCCUAAAUGCCAAGAGUCAGAAUUCAAUGAAAAAUUCAUUAGUGCUUAUGGCAGGAGUCCUACCAGCUAUUGCCAAGGGGUUAAAGGGAAAUAAAAAUUACAUAAAUAGGAUUUUCAGGACUUUUAAAUCCUAGCUUGAACUGUAAACUUGUUUGGGUGAUUUCAGCUUGCUGUUCUAUACCCUGAUACAUAAAGGCUGCUCUGGUACACUCACUAGCUUUAAUCAGAAGCAACUUCUAUUGAAGUCAGUUGUAUUCGUCUAAAUAAAGACAAAAAUAGGUCAUAUUUGUUCAUUCAGUUCUAAAUCUAUUUUUGUAAACACAACAUUCAUCAGGUAGAGGAAGAGGUAUUCAAAUUAUAUAAAUAUAAUUUUUAAAUCUAUAAAUCUAUAAAUCUAUAAAUAUAUACAUGUGUAUCUAUGAGUGUACAUAUAUAUAUAUAUAUGGGAUCAAAAUCUGAUUGAAAAUUUCUAUUUCAUGUACAGACAGUGACAUAAAAAUAAUGAUACUUGCCUUUGCAGACUUUUACCCUUAAACAGUUGCUCGGAAAAAUAAAGGAGCUUUGCAUGUUUUCUGAUGAUGUAUCACCAAUAAAUCCCAGUUUAACAAAGCUCUGAAACAAAAUUUGAAAUCCUUAUAAAAAAAAAGAUGAAAUAUGCUUUUUAGAACUAGAAAUUAAAUUGUUUGUACAGUUGGAGUCUGGAGAACUUUUAGUGGCUGCUCUGUAAGAGAAGAGACACAGCUGCCUGUUAUUCUAAUCCACAGUUCUGACAGGAAUUCUGCUUUGGAACAGGAACAAAUACUUGGGGAAGUGGAGGCAGUUCCUUCCUAAGGCCUCUAUUCACAGCAUUCAGAAAUGCUCCUGAGCAUUUAUGUCUCUCCAUGUUCAUUAGACCAUGUUUUGCCUUUUAACAGUAAGCUCUUCAGCUUGGUAAGGAAAAUCACAGGUCCCAGCUCACAAAUACCGAACACUGCCUGCACAGAAACACACCACAGGUUUUCAUUCCUCUCUGCUUGCAGUUCAGUUUUCAUUCCUCAUUCAGGUUUUCAUUCCUCAACUGCUCUUUCAGUUCAAAGGACUCCACACACACACACACAAAAAUUUCUUGCAAUUCAAUUUAGCCAAUGAUAACUCAAUUUCAACAUGUCCUGAGACAUGUUCUUCCACUGACAGAGGAUCCUGAUGACCAUCAGUUUACAUCUACUUGUCAGAAGCCCCAGGGCAAAUGUUGACUCUGAAUUUUCCUUCCAGUCUCAUUUGCUGCAUCAAAUGUCAUCAGUGCUUUUGACAGCAGCAUCCUAGACUCGUAGCUAGAAAGUUAUUGCCAUUUCUUGCUUGCUGUGCACAUUACGGAUUUGGUUUGUACAUCUCUCAUCUUCCAGGGUUAGGCGCUGCAUUUUUCUGUUUCAUUAUACUGGGGUAAUGCUGUUCAUCUGAAAAGAUUUAAACCAACCCAGAUUUAUUUUAAAAAUCAAAGCAUCCCUUUCUUGUCUUUACAUCAUUUUCUCCUGUCCUUCCAAGGCAACCAACCCUUCCCCUUUCUUUAGCACAUACCUGUUGUUCCCUGCUGCUUAGGGCAGGAGUUCAUCUUCCUGUAGAUUUAGCAACUUGCAACAUAGUGAGAGCUUUGCUCUCUGACUGAGGCUAAGCACUGGUUUUAUUAUUAAAAAAACCUGUCAGGUUUCUUAUUAAGGAAAAAAAAAACAAAAAAACAAAAAAACCCAAACAACAAGCAAAAGCUAAAUAACCACAACCAACCAAAAAAACCAACACUCAAACAAAAAAACCACACAGACAACGCUGGGCUUUGUUAUUAAACCACAUGUUCUCAAUAUUGGUGAGCCUGGAAGCACUGAUUGGAAAAAGGAGAAUGAUUCUAAAAAUGGGGAUGUGGGAUUUUUAUGGAAUAUGUUCUGCAGAGCCCUACUCCUAUCUAAUAUUAUAUUGCCUCAGUUUCUUCUCAAUCCUUUUAAACCCCAUUAUGCUCUGACAGUAUUUACAUGUUCUGUGAAGGAAGAGGGAUUUCUGCUCAUUGAUGGCUGCUAUCUAAGCUGCUCUGUUCCUUGGAUCUUGGUUGUACUUGCAGCAUACCAAUUUUAUAAGAGCAAACCUUCCUCAACUAAACAUUUAAAUGUGGAGAGAAAGAGUUCCUGUUCAGAGAGUAAAACCCAUCCAGCAAAAUCUCAGAACCAGAGCCAAAUGCCACCAGCUUCCAUCAGCCCUUCAACAGCAUUGCGAAAUCUGUCCCCACUUCUGAAGGAUCUCAGCAGCAAAAAAUGAGGAGACUGCUCAAGGCUUAGAGACUCUGACUGCUGUGUCUGUACAAAACAAUCAAAAAAACAACUGUGAAAAGUGAAUUGUUUCAGCUACUGUAUCUCUAGAAGUAUCUCUCCUUCUGUGUUCACAGACCGGUGGAGGAAUAUCUGAGAAACUAGCAGAUUAAAGGUAUUUUUGUUCUCUUUCUGCUGCUUCUUGAUGAGGAAAACAUUGGAAAAAAUGUGAUUUGGAAGUAGAGAUUGUGAAACUCUCUCACAACUGUACUGGAGAACUCCUUGGAGGACCAGAGUAGGGCACUUACAAAUUUGAAAUAAUAGAGCAUUGACUCGGUCACACAGUAGAUAUACUCUCAGUUGGUUAAUAAAAUAAGAAAGAAUUCUUGGUUAAAAACCUGUUUUCAGGGAGUCAGAUCUGUUUCAGUCUUAUGCAUAAAUUCUCUUAGUUUCUCAAUAUAGAGACAAAAAACUUCAUGAGAUUUCAAAUUUGCUGUAUAUCAACAAGAAUAUUUUUAAUCAGAGAUGCAACAAUGAGGCAAAAUUUAGAACUCUGCCCGUUUUCUCACUCUGGAGUUACCUGUAGCAGCCAUGUAGAGAAUAGAAAAUGGAAUAUAUUUCAUAGAUAUUAAUCUAUAACAGGAUCCCAGCAGAAAUGCUUUUUCAUUGCUAUCGUGUUAGAUUCUAUGAAUCCACAAAUCCUGCUAAAUACCCAAUAUCACAGCUAAAGAUGUGCCUAGAUGUGCAAGCUGUUAGUUACCCACAAAGGCUUCUUACCAGAACCAGCACUGACAAUAAUAUCUGCAAAUGCUGAAGACCCCUCAGCUGCCAAACAAGAAAUCAUCAACCAGCUGUGAAAUAAAUGUAACUGCCAGGUGUUAUGUCCACAAACACAAUGUAAGGGAAUAAACAUCCAGGUCACUAAGAAUGAACCUGACCAGGGAAAAAAGCAUACGUGAAAAAUGGUAGGGUUAUAGUUAAUCCUGGUCCUGUUGUCAGUAGGGGAAUCAGGAAUCUCCCUUGAGGUGUCAGCAGCAUUUCUGGUUCUUCUCUCUGUAUGUCACCACACCAAAUGGUCAGUUUUUAUGGUGGUCAAAAGUUUACUGGCAGUAAACUUAACAGCUACUGGUUCAACUGGUGCUUCAACACAAGCUGUGAUGUGUGGAAGUGAUAGAAAUAUGGUCAUAUGCAUAUUUUGGAUCAAGUCUGUGAUCCAAAAUGUCUUCAGCCAGGACUGACAAAAUAAGUAAAACAAGCUGUAUCAGGCCUCUGUCCUCAGCACCAUUGCUAGAUGGAGAGGAGAUAAUACAACAGAUCCCAUUAACCUGUGUAACAGCUUCCAAAAACCAUAGAAACUUUGACUAUCUGUGUUAUCCUGUGGCAGGGAGCUCCACAGCUUAGCUGGAAACUGUGCAAAUUGUAGGAUGUAAAAAAUACAAACAGGAUUUUCUUGACCUGUAAAGCAACUUAUUAACUGAGGAUAUUUUUUCGUGAACUGACAGAAGAUGGAAGUCAUGCUCCAGAGAGCAAGUAGGCAUAACCCACAACAGCAGAAAAACACUAGCAAUUAGUCAGGAUCCCUCUAUUGACUGACAAGAAGUAGACAUACACUAUCACUGUAGACCAAUCUUCUGAGCACUCAAAGUGUGUAAAUUAGACCUAAAGUGUAAAUUGCACAGUAAGUGACAAGAAUUUCAGAGCAUUGAUUACUUUGAGACAGUCAUUUGAGAAAUGAAUCCUUUCAAGAAAUAUAAAACUGCUGGUCUUGAUGGCAUCUGACAACUGAGUAGAUGAAAUACCUUGGUUGAAUGACAAAUAUCCAAAUACUCCAACCAUUUACUGUGCAUUGCUGUCAGUGUGUUUGUGCUUGUAUCUCAUGGCACUCCAAAAAUCAGAGAAAGAUGCUUCAGAGCCAAAGAACAGUGGGUUGUGUCCAUACGGCAUCAUCUUCACAAAUGGCAUCAGCAUCUGAUCCUAAUUAAAUUAGUUAUCACCAUUUGCUAAAUGGUUACUAAUACCAGAGCAAGCUGGACUGUUCCCAAAAAAUCCCUGCUGUCCAAGUGCUUAACAUCACUGAGCAGUUCCAAGAGAGCCUUGGGAGGGCAUGGACAGAUACUCUAUGUUUGUAGAUCCAUCAGCAGCUGCUCAUGACACUGGAAAAAUGUGAAGUAUGGUUUUAUUUGUAAUUAUUAAAUUACACAAAUUGAUCAUCUCUUCAUAGGGAUUGCACAUAGUUUACAUAAACCAUGUGAGAACCAGAUCCAAUGGUGCAGACUGCAAUAUGAGCUAUUAGAAAAGGGUACUUGUACCAAUAUUUUUGGUAUCUGUCAUAACAAGCAACCAAGCUAUGAUCGUAUAAAAUCUAAUUUCUUGCAGGUGACUAAGGGAUCACAAUCCAAAACUAGGAAUGCAGUUUUAAGGACUUCAUGCAAAUCAUAGCCAUGGUGACCUGAGCAUCCUUCCUGGAUAUCUGAUUGGUGCAUCCAAAGCUGACUGUGUAUGAAUUCAGGGGAAACAGAUGUGAGUCUCCUCCACCUUUAGACUCAAUAAGCAAUUUUGCACAUCCAAGAUUGAGGGUGACUCGCCCUUGACUAGCACAUGAUCUAUCUGGGUAUCAUAUUGAAUUGCACGCUUUACUGGAGGCCAGAGAGAUCAAAAUGCAAAGUGAGUGCUCGUGAGAGCUCAGUUCCUAAAAUGAAGGUGAGGAGGGGAUGAGGAGACUGAUGGCAACCACACAAUGAUGUGGAUUGCUGAAGCCAUGCAGUGACACUCAGACCUGUACGUGUGCUCUGUGUCAGAAUGAUCAGGGUUUGCAGGGUUAGAUAGGCUGCAAUGGAUCAAAACUGCAUUGUCUUAACUAACUAUCUUAGAUAAGCCAAAUCAGACUGUCUUUCUGGGAGUCAUCCUAUCUGAUAUCAUGAAAGUAUGAGUUAUUACCAGAGAAUGCACCCUGAAUGCUUAUGGUUGUGCUGAAAACUUUUCUAUUUGCAGGAGAAAUACAGGAGCUGUGGUAGUUACAUAAUUGACAGUGCACCAGAUAAUCAGUAUGGUAUUUAAAAUUAGCAUAGGUUAAAAGAAAAUAAGAGAAAAUAAAAGAAAAUUCAUUUCCCCAGUAACCUGAGAAUUAAUUUGACAAAUUUGAGACCUUCUCACACAUGAGUUAGCUGGCUAAAUGAUACAGCACAUCGUGGUUUGUGGCAUCAUGGAAGAGUUGUAAGUUAUCAAGGAUUUAGCCCAGGCAACCCACUGAUGCAUCUCUUAUGUUGAUUUUAUGAAACCUCAUCAGAAAACAAGCAAAGGACAUGUACUAGGAAAAAGGAAGCACAGACAUAGUUGUGCAGGCAUGGAAGAAUAAACCACUCUUGUAUUCCUUUUCUGCAAAUCACAACAAGGCAAAUGACUGAAAAGCCUUUUUCAAAGCCUACCAGUCCUUGACAGGAAAGAAGAAAUAAUGCCCUAAUUGCCAAAAAUGGCAAGGAGAGGAGAGAAGAGAGGGCAGAAUGUCAUGGUUACAGUUUGUUUCCAAGUCAUUCUCUCUCUCCAAGGUUCCUUCUCUCCUUUAAGAAAUAUGUACUUAAAACAUAAUGGACUAAAGGCCAUUUCCAAACCAGGAGCUUGGUAUAAUUCAUUUUAAUGCCACUCCAGUUGGCUGGGCAAUACAAUAAAUUAUCACACUGCAAGAGAACCCUUUGGUCCAGACUAUGUGUCGGACUGAACUUCUAGAUCUAUGGAGUAUUUAUCAUGAGUCUGUUGCCACACAAGGUUAUCGUGCUGAUAAACAGCAUUUCUCCAUCUCUCAAAUUUGGUUCUUUCAGCCAAAAUGAAGCUAUUCAACAUUAAAAAAAAAAAAAAAAUUAAAAGCCUAUGCUGUCUUUAUCAGAGUCACAUGGCCAGAGUUCAAUAUCCACCGUGAUACUCUGGGAAAGCAUCAGCAGACAGUAUGGUUUCACAAAAUAUUUAAGACUAUCUUUUUUUAGUAAGAGCUACUGUUUUAUCUCAGAAAGAUGCACUGCAAUUAGUUUCAGCUACACCAGAUAUCCUUCACUACUUUUUCUGCUUAGAAUAUGUUCCAUGAGUCAACAGAAGAUUUCUUUUUUCUUAAGGUUAUUCCCCUCAGCACACACACACACAAAAAAAGAAAAUUCUGCAUGGUUUUAGGCCAUUUUUUCCAAGAUUCUGUGACAAAACCCUUGGAACACACCCAGAUUGUGAUCGUUGACAGUUUCUCCACCAGGAAACCAAGCCAAAAAGUCCAAGAUGUCACAAGAGGCAUGUCAAAGACAUGGGAUCAGAAAAGGUGUCACAACUAAUUAAUUUGUUUUGGAAGAAACUUGGUACUUGAUGUUUCCACUUCAUUCAUAGUGCUCUGAACUUCAGACAAAUCAAGUCAUUUAUUCAAACACCUCACUGUGAACUCUGCUGCUGGGAUCUUGGUUCUAGGAUGUUUAAGAGAUAUGAGUGUAACAGAAACAAAAUCCACUUUUGCUCAAAGGUCAUUGUCAGUAGUGUUAUUUUUUUCUAGUCUUGUUAUCUCUUCAGCGUACUUGCAUUUUUGUCUAUAAGUGAGAAGUUUGGCCAGAGCAGCAUUGAUUAAACCAAACUCACAGACUCACUCGAUUUUUCAAUGACUGAGGACUGCUGAAGGAAAAGAAAUAUUUAUUUUCACUUUGCCUUGCAUUUCCAGCUAGGAGCAAAGCCAGCAGUGAUAUAAAUCUGCUGUGCAAAGGUUCCUCUAUGCUAUUUCCAUCUGAAAACCUCAAGAAUUCCCUGAGAAAGCCUAUUCUCAUGAUCAUCCCACCUUGUUCCAUUGAGCUUCUGAGGUCUGAAGAGCUGAGACAAGGUCCCUUCUGGCUAACUGGAUUGCUACAAGUUCUCUGCUGCCUGUUUUCCUCCUCUCCUUAACAUUCACAGUGCUUCAGCUAAAAAUUCUGAUCCAUUACCAUUCAGACUGUGCAUCUACUUACUGACAGUCCUUAACUCUUUUCAUCAUAUUGCUAAUUCUGUCUUUAAGGCCUUGUGUUGGUUCUUCCUGCCCAUAUUUAUGCCAUUAUCUCUUAUCAUUUGCCCCUUGUUCUGCCUUCACACUCAUUCCUUGAGCUCAUUCUUUCUUCUGGUCCAUCAGGGCUGUAUCGCCCUCCUGCUUUUGCUCGACUCCCUCACCUUCUGUCCCCUUCCCCCAGAUUUCUCCCUCCACGUUCUGCAAGAAUCAGAGCUACACUCUUGGAGUGUUCCUGAGAGUCAGUUGUUACUGCAGCAUAAAAUACUUCUGAAUCUCUAAGAAAGAUGAAAACAAAGCACAGGAGUAGAAGAUAAAACAAAGGAAAGAGGAGAUGAGAAAUGGGAAUUUAUUGCCUGGAGCAACCCAUGUUUUGUUGCUGCUACUAGGAAGUGACAGCAAUAGUAGUAAGGCAGUAACAAUGCUGGGCUUUUACUGUUUUUUAAGAAAAGAAGUGAUGUUUGGAUUAGGUCACAGGAAAGGAUUGUGGCCAUCAGCAUCUGUAAGUAUCUGCCCAGUGGGCUGUAAUUCCUUCAGUGUUUCUGCUGGGCAACAGGAAAACAGCAUCAAGAGGGUCUAUACUGCAAGUGUUAUCCCGCCUCAUGCCACACGAUGGCAUGACUUGAGGGCAGCAAAUAGGAGUCAGAGGUGAGAUUUGGCAGCACAUUCACCUGUGGGUAGCAGGGGGAAGGGCUCUCAUGCUGAACCAAUCUCCCACAUCAGCCUUGAGUCCAGACAGGGAGAAAGAUGGACUGAUCUUACCUAAGCCUUUUUCCUGGGAUACAAGCACAAAGAAUGUAAGGCUGGUAAGAACAAAAACAUUCUGUCAAAGGAAAGGUGACUGAGAAACUAUUGUCCCAGGCCAUUCAACUACUAUAUUCUUCAUCCUGACAAUUUUUGUUUAGCUCAGGGCAAAUAGUUUGGCCAAAACCAAGCAAAGCCAAGUUUCGUGGGUUUCAGUGCUAUGUGCCAGAUGAAGACCCUAAACAGGCUAGUCCUAUGUGAUAUUGUUAGGUAACAUCUUGGGUAGCUACUUCUCAAAUGUUAGUUCUUUAAAUGAGAAGUGGUUGCUAAGAUUUUCUGGCUCUUGGUUAUCUAGAAAGGCAUGGGCCUAAAGCUCUUUGAAAUGAUUUGGCUACUGCAGAUCACCCUGCAGGAUGCAGCACUGAGUAAAAAUUCAGGUCAGAUGGUCACAGCAGGCAACUGGGAUCCAAGAGUCCUUGCAUAGGCACAUUAUUCUCAAACACUGAUAUAAAGAAAUUGAUGUUUUUGUGCUUCAUUCAACACAAGCUUAGUUAGCAUUACUUGAAAUAAUAGGUGGCACGUUCCUUCAGUAGUGUUUUAAAGCUGUGAAAGUGUAAAGUACCAUAGAACAAUAGAACAAGAUACUCAGACUUUCUACUGACAGAUACAAAAUUCAGGGUUCCUGCUGCAUCACAUUUUCAGGGUAAUGGCUGAAAAAAAUAAAUUACCUAUUAGUCAAGUCAACUUAUUAAACAAUUUGAGACUUUGUACUACUUGAUUUGGGUGCAAAUUUAAUCAGGAAGUGUAGGGGUGAAUUGACACAGAACACAUUUCCUAACUUCUGCCUUAGGGCCAUUUUAGAUACGCAGUAACAAAACAUUAUUAUUUUAUAAGCGAUCUGAAAGUCAGCAUUACUCUGCUUUUCUGGUUUUGACAACCAGCAGGGAAAAUAAACUUGGCUGCCCCUAAUACCUGCUUCCCUUAGGGAUCCAGACAGGAUGGCCCCCUUCCCACUUCCACCCCCUGGUCUUUGCUCCUGAAAUCACAUCCCCCAUCAUGGAUGUGUAUGGUAUAGAAUAUUCAAUGCCAAAACUCUACCUCCUGGCAUUGUAACCAUAACAGUGUGUUCUUCAUGGAAGAACAUAGUAGACAGAGGAAAUCCAUAGCUGACAGGGGAAAUCUUAUUCAUGAAUGCCUAUUAACUAUUUCUGUAUUUAAGGUGCAUUUAAACAGAGACUGUAAGGUGAUUAAAUGUCUCUCACCUGUACUGAUUCCAGUGGUAGGAGGACAAGGGGUGUGGUGCAGACCUGCUGGUACAGUCCAUUUCCUUUUCAGGAUUUUUACAUAAGCAGACAAGUGCAAAGCAUGGAGACCUGUUUGGCCCCUUCCCAUCUCACUCCUGUCAUGACUGAUGCCCCUUAACUGCAUAUCAUUGUUUUGAUUCUAUACGUGCAGCCCAACAGACUUUCAUCAGGCCUUCUAGGGGAAGCUUGAGCUUUUCCAGUGAUUCACUCCAGAAUGUGAGCGAAAUCAAUCCUACUCAUUUCAGUUAAAAAUUCUUCUUUCUGCGUAACCAGAAGAGAGUGUUUGUUCAAGGCCUCUUCUGUGCCCAGCAGAAUCUGUGCUGUAUUUACAAAGUAGAAGCCAAUACUAAGAGUGCUGACUGUAAUGAACAGUGUUUGGAACGAAAUGUCUAAUGAGUAUAGAUGCUAUCAAAGCUGUUCUCUUGCUCAGAAGUGGAUGUUAAUGCCAAUUACUCAUGUUUCUUGAUUAAACUCUCACCGAACAUUAAGUACUACAGAAAAAAGGUCCUCCAUCAUAAAAUAUGCACAUUGCAGUUGAGUCAGAAGCUGGUACCAAGAAUCCAGGGACAUGGUGUACUCUGUGUUGUGGUUCUCCAAAGUACAUGGGAGUACAUUGGGUGUGAUUUGUAAAAGAUGUCUGGGCAGAGUGUGCCACUGGAUCACAGCCAGAUAAUUGUACACCAGACUAAGAUGUACCUUCAGGACAAUGGAAAUACUUCCAUAAGUAAAUAACUGGAAGAAGACAUUUCACAUGGACAAGCAGGAUGUCACUAAAGAUGUGACAGAUCUCAAGACCUAUAACCAGGAGGAGUCAGACAGUGAACUCUCAUAGUUGGAGUUUGGGCUACUGCUCAGUUUGACUGGAUCCAUGUACACUAUUCUCCUGGAUAAACCAUUCUGGGGUACAUCUGCAGUAAUUUUGUUCUAUUAAUAUUUUGCUAUGAUACAAAAGGGUCAGAAACCUUGCUAUAUUUAUAUGUAUGCUUGAGCUCUGAAAUAAAGGGAAAUGCACCAAACAGGAA